CCUGCUGCCCGGAGAGGCCGCUCCUUUGCCGCCGCCGGGAGCGACCCACGGAGCCGUUUCCCGGAGUUGGGGCUGCUCGUCUCUCGGCCCGGCCCUCCCGCCGCCCCGGACUGGGGGACCUGCCCCAGCCGACCCGGCAGGAGGUGGAGGGGCUCGGCGGCCCCUGAGGUAGAAGUGUCUUGACAACCAAGCAAGAAGGUGGAUUAUUUUUAGAACAAUGCUUAGGCAUCUGUAGAGAUGAUUUGUGGUUCAGUCCAGCUGGAGCUGACUGAAUGAAGCUAUGGGCUGUGCAUCAGCCAAACAUGUUUCUACUGUUCAAAAUGAAGAGGAAGCUCAGAAGGGGAAGAACUACCAGAAUGGAGAUGUAUUUGGUGUGUGGCGAUCUGCAGGUGAGUGCAGAUCUCAUCAGCAGAGGUGACCAUGAUGGAGUCCCAAAAUCGCAAAAGAGACUGAAUGAAAGGUACGAGAUCUGAUCGCUGUAUGGGGAGAUGAAUCUGUGCUCUCAGAACUCCGUUCAAAAAGACGAAUUGCCCAAACAUUUGAAAAAAUCUCAACGGGCAUGAAGGACAGAGGCUAUAGCAGGGAUCCACAGCAGUCCCGCGUGAAACUUAAGGAGCUGAGGCAAACCCACCAAAAAACCAGAGACACAAAUGGCUGCUCCGGGUCAGAGCCCCAGACAUGUCGCUUCUAUGAUGAGCUACAUGCCAUUCUAGGUAGUGCCGCCACCACUACCCCACCGCUGUGCUUUUGACUCCAUCAGUGGAGUAGCACGCAACAGGGAUGCGGGUUUUGGGGACAAGGAAGAUGAGGAGGAGGUUGAAGACAAUUCACAGCAAGCGGAGAAACUGUUUUCCCCAACAGCCAGGAACUGUUUCUCACCCUGGACGUGGAGUCAGUACCUCCCGAACCCAACCAAGGCGGACUCCUAGACCCUGAAGGCAGAGAAGGGACCUCUGCUGCAAAUGUUUCAACACUCACACUAUCUUCUCCUUC